UUAUCGGAGAGUUUGAUCCUGGCUCAGGACGAACGCUGGCGGCGUGCCUAAUACAUGCAAGUCGAGCGGACAGAUGGGAGCUUGCUCCCUGAUGUUAGCGGCGGACGGGUGAGUAACACGUGGGUAACCUGCCUGUAAGACUGGGAUAACUCCGGGAAACCGGGGCUAAUACCGGAUGGUUGUUUGAACCGCAUGGUUCAGACAUAAAAGGUGGCUUCGGCUACCACUUACAGAUGGACCCGCGGCGCAUUAGCUAGUUGGUGAGGUAACGGCUCACCAAGGCGACGAUGCGUAGCCGACCUGAGAGGGUGAUCGGCCACACUGGGACUGAGACACGACCAGACUCCUACGGGAGGCAGCAGUAGGGAAUCUUCCGCAAUGGACGAAAGUCUGACGGAGCAACGCCGCGUGAGUGAUGAAGGUUUUCGGAUCGUAAAGCUCUGUUGUUAGGGAAGAACAAGUGCCGUUCAAAUAGGGCGGCACCUUGACGGUACCUAACCAGAAAGCCACGGCUAACUACGUGCCAGCAGCCGCGGUAAUACGUAGGUGGCAAGCGUUGUCCGGAAUUAUUGGGCGUAAAGGGCUCGCAGGCGGUUUCUUAAGUCUGAUGUGAAAGCCCCCGGCUCAACCGGGGAGGGUCAUUGGAAACUGGGGAACUUGAGUGCAGAAGAGGAGAGUGGAAUUCCACGUGUAGCGGUGAAAUGCGUAGAGAUGUGGAGGAACACCAGUGGCGAAGGCGACUCUCUGGUCUGUAACUGACGCUGAGGAGCGAAAGCGUGGGGAGCGAACAGGAUUAGAUACCCUGGUAGUCCACGCCGUAAACGAUGAGUGCUAAGUGUUAGGGGGUUUCCGCCCCUUAGUGCUGCAGCUAACGCAUUAAGCACUCCGCCUGGGGAGUACGGUCGCAAGACUGAAACUCAAAGGAAUUGACGGGGGCCCGCACAAGCGGUGGAGCAUGUGGUUUAAUUCGAAGCAACGCGAAGAACCUUACCAGGUCUUGACAUCCUCUGACAAUCCUAGAGAUAGGACGUCCCCUUCGGGGGCAGAGUGACAGGUGGUGCAUGGUUGUCGUCAGCUCGUGUCGUGAGAUGUUGGGUUAAGUCCCGCAACGAGCGCAACCCUUGAUCUUAGUUGCCAGCAUUCAGUUGGGCACUCUAAGGUGACUGCCGGUGACAAACCGGAGGAAGGUGGGGAUGACGUCAAAUCAUCAUGCCCCUUAUGACCUGGGCUACACACGUGCUACAAUGGACAGAACAAAGGGCAGCGAAACCGCGAGGUUAAGCCAAUCCCACAAAUCUGUUCUCAGUUCGGAUCGCAGUCUGCAACUCGACUGCGUGAAGCUGGAAUCGCUAGUAAUCGCGGAUCAGCAUGCCGCGGUGAAUACGUUCCCGGCCUUGUACACACCGCCCGUCACACCACGAGAGUUUGUAACACCCGAAGUCGGUGAGGUAACCUUUUAGGAGCCAGCCGCCGAAGGUGGGACAGAUGAUUGGGGUGAAGUCGUAACAAGGUAGCCGUAUCGGAAGGUGCGGCUGGAUCACCUCCUUU
rnacentral:rRNA from 1 species